UGUACUGACAAAUGGAAAUCAGGUCGGUUUGGGAGAAAUGUGGUCCCCUGGCAUAUGUUAAGAACUGACAUGUUCAACAGCUCAAGGAUCUCACAACCCUUUGGGACUUCCUCAGCUCUUUCUGAACUAGAAGCCACAAGGCUGAGAACUCCUUACGGAUCAGAACUGCUUAAAAGACUUCCCAAAAGCAGGCGUCCCUCACCUCAGUGUCUUCAUUAUUUAUCUAGAACCUGGGGGCUCAAGACAGCACAUGUGUGUCAUCUCCCAGCAUCUGGGAGCCAGUAAUCUGGAAACAUCUGGGCUGCCCCUUGCUCUGCUGCAGUUAAGGUAUGGUCAGGUUGUGGUCUCACCCAGAGAGCACUGCUUCCAAGCUUACUGAUGUGGCGGUGUCAGUUUUCAGGUCCUCAGCUCUGGGGACUGGAGACCGCCCUCCGCCCCUUAUCACUUGGCCUCUCCAGCAGCCCUACCUCAUCACUGGCACGGAUGAAGCAUAGUCCCCUGAUCUCACCACAGAAGUGGCAUCCUGAUCCCUUUGCUGUGUUCUGUGGGUUACAGUGUCCAGCCCGCGUUCCAGGACAGGGCCACUCACUGUCCAGCAGGGCAGGCGAGGAGCAGCCGGCCAGCCUGCCACCUGGUUGUGAGGUGUGUGUGCAGAGUCGGGUACGACGCUCACCUACUGAGGGACCUGGGGAAGAGGACGUGCGUUCUCUCCUCCGGAGCCCCGGUGGAUGGGGGCGGAGCUGGAUACGGGGCUACGCGGAGUCUGCUCCACCAGCUGGCAUCGUGCUGUCCUCUGGGGAUGUGCCUGGCACGCGGCAGAAGGAAGAACCGCGAGACUUAACCAGCAGUUUGCAGCUGGAUGAGGGUAGGGGGCUCACAGUCGACACAGCACUUCCAGGACCCCUGGAGGUUGGACCCAAGUGGACCUGUGCAUGCGGCAAGGUUUGGGGGGGUGUGUGUGAAGGGUGAUGCAGAAGUUGACAGAUCUGGAGCAUGGUGGUGGCUGUUGGCCUUCUGAGGCUUAGCCUCUGUGCCUGAGCAAAGUUCAGACACCAGGCAGCGGCUGUGAGGGAAAGAGGAUGAGGGAUCAGGACAAGGCUUUGAUUGGGCCUAGCAUGUUGGCAGGGAAGGUAAGCAUGGGAACACAGAUGCCUUCGGCACCCAACGGUGACAGGGAUGGAGGCUAGGACAUGGGGGUCAGGUCCUCCUGAGCCUCCUGUCCGCCACCCCUCUCCUCUGUCACCCAGUGCCUCACCCCUUCCGAAAUCUUCCAAGUUCUUUUCCUCUUCCUUAAGACUCUACCCCAACUAUUGCCCAUGUCUUUCAGGUCCUGUCUUUCAGUUCUCAGCUCAAACGUCACCUCUCCAGAGAGGCUUUGUGGCACCGAGUUUAUGUGUCCCAGCCCUUCAGGCCACCAAUGUCUUUGAAGACGGUGACAGCAGAUUAACCUGCUUUUGAAACAAAUAAUCCAGAGAUCUAUGGAGACACAGUGACACAAAGGCCACGCGGGAGUGUGGGAGUAGAAAGAACAGGACAUUGGUGGGCUGCAGCGGAGCGAGCCGACGGCCACUGUACUUUCUCCAGGAGCCCUCUGCUGUCUGUGUGUGAAGGGGACGCUGCUCAGGUGAGCAGCAGCUGUCUAACCAGGCUGAGGACUGGGGCUCAGACACCAAGGCUGUCAGAGCAGCUGGAGCUUGGGGGAGGAAAUCCUGCAUAAAAGAGGGGUGCCCCAAACCCUGCUUCCAAAGCCUUCAGCGUCCCUGCCUGGUUCAUCUUAGCUCCACGGGAUGAGACCCCAGUGACUGCACAGUUGAGAACAGCUGGACUCUGACAGGGCUGAGUGUAGACAUUGGCAGCUUCCCACAUGGGGGGACAGUUUGAGUUCAGGUUUCCCUGCUCUGGAUGAUUUGGCAAACACCUCAGGCUUUGCAUAGAAAGUCAGGGGCCCAACCCUUAAAGGAAACGUCCCAAGGCUGAAGCUUAGAUGGCAGGGUUAGGGACACAACAGAGGCCCUCUCACAAAGCCCAAGCCUGCAUACCCACAGGGUCCAGAGUGAUUUGCCCGCUGCACACCCGUGUGCUGACUCGAAGCUCGGCUCUUGGUGGGGGAGAACAGUGCACACAGACGGGCCGACAGGGUAUGCACGAAGCCACGCACAGAAUCAAGAUUCACUAGACACGCAAAAAGAAAAACAGGACCCAUGACCAAGAAGCAAUGGUCAGAAGGCACACGAGGAUGUUGGAUGUUGGGAUUCACUGGUGAGGACUGCGGGAAGUAGGAUAAAUAUGUAGCUAAUGUGGAAAAUAAGAUGGUGUGUGACAAAUCACGACCCUGAACACUCGUAAAGCUCACUUCCAAGUGUCUCGUGGGUCACAGGGACAUGACCUCGGGGGCUACAUCUUGACCCUGGCCCCUUACUCUCUGACUCCUUCCUUGUCUCUCCGUUUCCUGGCCAUUGUGAGGUGAGUGGCUUUCCUCCUCCAAGCCCCUUCGCCAUGACGUUUUAUCCUCACCACAGGCCUAGAAGCCGCAGGGCCAGCUGACCGUGGACUGGAACCUCGGAAACUGUGAGGAGAGAAGAAGCACUUCCUCCUUUAAGUUGUCCAUGUCAGGUAUUUUUGUCCCAGGGAUGGAUGAGAAGGUGACCGACCUGGCUGAAAGUAACAUGUGAGGAAAUGGAGAUUUCAGAAGAGACAUAAAACGUCGAAAUGGCUGGACGUGGUGGCACACGCCUGUCAUCCCAGCACUCCAGAGGCUGAGGCAGGAGGAUCACUGUGAGUUUGAGACCAGCCUGGGCUACAUAGUGAGUUCUAGGUCAGUCUCAACUACAUAGUGAGACCCUGUCUCAAAAAACCAC
rnacentral:lncRNA from 1 species